UCCAACGACCCUUAUCUCGCCCGACAAAAUCAAAAAAUAAGGGUAAUAUGGUAAAUUCGUAUCUCUGAAUGACCUCCUCUCUUAACCCGAUUUUCAUAUUUUUUUUCUCUCUCUUCCUUCCGUUUUCUCUCUCCUCCUGCAAAUCCUCUCUACGGCUUCUCGAUCUCCUUGGAACGCUCUUGAAAUUUUCUCUCCCCUCGAUCCUCAUACAUAUUUAAUCGAAGAUUCAGGCUAUAAUUCAGUUCAGCAAUGGUUUUGCAGAUAAUAUUUUGUUGCAGGCAAGGUUGAGUUUGCACUAAGUAAAGGCCUGGAAGUGAUUGCUUGCGUAGGUGAGACUUUGGAGCACUGUGAAGGAGGGACUACAAUGGAGGUAGUUACAACUCAGACAAAAGCUAUUGCUGGUAAAGAUGAUGCUAUUUGUUUUGAACUGGUUUUAGAGGAAUCUUAUCAUUUCUCAAAUCCUCCAAUAAGCAACUUAUCCUUUCUUAAAUCCUCCAAUAUCCAUUCUCCAAUUUAGUGGUCCUUUACUUUUGAAUCAAUUUUGUUUACUAUUACAAGUUAAUUUGUCUACUUCCAAAUUGAACAAUAGACAAAAUGUACUAUUACAUUCUAAUUCUUCCUACUAUAUUUCUCAUUGAUUAGAUGGAAAGAUAGAAGACUGCAAGUGGUUCUAUUUGUUUUGUGUUGGUUGUUUCUUUUUCUUUUUAAUUCUGAUUUUGGGUUUUGUGGGAUACGACAGUUGUGGGGCUUCAGACUAAACUGCAACUUAGUUGUUCAGGGGUUUUUGCCAUGCAGGGAUAGUGUGGCACAUCUCAUUAGGUUAAGUGUGUGCAUUCGGUGACAAGACUCUUUAUUGGAGUUUAGUUGUGUGUUCAAUUAGUUUCUACUAAUAUUUACUUUUUGUAUUGUUUUAUUUACUUUUAAUAGGAAAACAUUUACUUUAAUAAUUCGAGAAUUAUAAUGAAACAUUCUGCGUAUGUUCAUGACUUCAUGGUACGUGCACAUGGAUCACAACCCCAUCUUAGUAAAGACCCCAUCCUUGCAGCUUCGCCUGCUAUUGUUUCACUCCAGCAAAUUAUUUCCUGAGAAACAGAUCCUAUGGAGUCAGAGAGAGAUAAAAGUCUUGCUCGAUCAUUUGCCACUUUGAACUAUUUGACCAUGUCUCACCUCUUCUUUCAACGUGAGUUUACUUCUGAAAUUUGGAGCAAAAACUGUUUUGUUGGGUGCUAGCAGACAGAUUCAAGCCUUUGAGGAGGAAGUUAAGAUAUAUUGUUGCACAAGCUUGCAGGCAGAAACGAAUAAAACAGAAGCUUAUGGUGUUUGUUUUGCUGAAACCAUAUAUGGCUUAUUGACUUUGCGAAACAGUAGAAUUUUUCAGGCUAGGAAGGAGAACCAACAAACUAUUGUCAGGAGCAUUUUGUUUAAUGUGGCGUGCAGAUGCUCUGAAGAAAUGAGAAGGUUCCUUAUCGUUUGAACACUGAUGUUUUUUCCCUGUAAGCUCGUGUUUUUGUUUUGGUGAAGCAAUGUUUCAGUUGGGGUUUUGCAGGUUUGUUGCUUUUGUUACGCAACAACAUUUGCUUCUUGAUUCCAUUUAAGAGGAAGUUGUCUUUAAGGUUUCUUUUAGGUGUUUUGAAGCUCAGGGUAAGAUUCUUUUGUUGUAAAUAGAACUAGAUGGAUAACACUAGUUCUUGUUUUGUA